AGCUUUGUGCAGUGGCAGUAUCAUAGCCAAUGAGGUUUAUCUGAGAUGUAAUUAUUGCUAAUUGAAGAUGAAUUUGCAAUUUUUUACUAUGUUGACGUUUGUACUGAUAGUGCAGACCAAUAGUGGAGAAAACUGCUGGCACUUGAACAUGAAUCAA
ensembl:snRNA U4 U4 spliceosomal RNA